GCCUGAUGGGGCUUGGUUGGGAGGCGCCUGAUGAUGUAGAAGGCAAGUGAACAGAGGCACUUGGUGGGACAGAAGUUGGGCUCAGGUGAUGCGGCGGUCGGAGAGAUGCUGUGGAGGAGUUGGCCGGCGACCCCUUUCCUUCUAGCUUCAACGAGUCUGCUGUUGUGAUGGCCGAAGGAAGAGCAAGGAGGGGGAGGAGGGAUGGCAGAGGAGGUUAACAUCUAUAGCUUUUAUUAUGAAGCUAAGCUUCUAGACACACAUCUGAUCUGGUAGUUAUUUGUAUGAGUUGACAAGACAUUCGACAUGAAGCUAUUAGAAUA